rnacentral:rRNA from 1 species
UACGAAGGUGGCAAGCGUUGUUCGGAUUUACUGGGCGUAAAGGGAGCGUAGGUGGUGCGGUAAGCCCUCCGGGAAAGCUUCAGGCUUAACCUGAAAAGGUCGGGGGGGACUGCCGCGCUAGAGGACGGGAGAGGAGCGCGGAAUUCCCGGUGUAGCGGUGAAAUGCGUAGAGAUCGGGAGGAAGGCCGGUGGCGAAGGCGGGUUGCUAGGCUGACACUGACGCUGAGUGCGCGAAAGCCAGGGGAGCAAACGGG